rnacentral:rRNA from 1 species
CACGUAGGGCGCAAGCGUUGUCCGGAAUUAUUGGGCGUAAAGGGCUCGUAGGCGGUCUGUCACGUCGGGAGUGAAAACUCAGGGCUUAACCCUGAGCCUGCUUCCGAUACGGGCAGACUAGAGGUAUGCAGGGGAGAACGGAAUUCCUGGUGUAGCGGUGAAAUGCGCAGAUAUCGGGAGGAACACCGGUGGCGAAGGCGGUUCUCUGGGCCUGUACUGACGCUGAGGAGCGAAAGCGUGGGGAGCAAACAGG